rnacentral:lncRNA from 1 species
GAUUCUCAGUCUCUCUCCGGCCAGCUCUCUAGCUCUCCAGCUCGCAGGCUUCAAGCUCGGUGAUUCUUCAACCUCGAAGCUUGGUGAUUCUUCAUUCUUCACGCUCGAUUUCUGGGUUCAAGUGGUGAUUCUUCAAGCUCGAUUUUUGGGUUUUGGAUUCGGUGUUUCUGCAAGCUCUGUGAGUCUUGUUAUGAUAAUCUCAUAUUGA